GGGCUUGUACUGGUUUCGACGGGGAUUUUGAAGGUUGGGAAGCCAUUCGUAGGGACCACGUUACGGUGCAAACUUAAAUAUAAACGCAGAUAAUAAAUUAGCGUACGCUGCCUAAUUGACAGCUGCCCGCUCCAUAUCACCUGCAGUAUGGAAUCCGGGUAUCAAAAGAUGCAGGACCCUCAUCUGGUAAAGCUUUGCACCAGGUGAAGUAAUAUGAAGCUACUAAAGUCGAAAGCCUGUUCAUGGGCGUUCGGCGGAGGGAAUGUCAAAACAUGAACUGUAAUGGGAGAUGCCUGACUGGACGAGUUUUCGGACGCGGGUUCGAUUCCCGCCAGGUCCAU
rnacentral:tmRNA from 1 species